UACGAAGGGGGCUAGCGUUGUUCGGAAUCACUGGGCGUAAAGCGCACGCAGGCGGAUCGUUAAGUCGGGGGUGAAAUCCCGAGGCUCAACCUCGGAACUGCCUUCGAUACUGGCGAUCUUUGAGUCCGGGAGAGGUGAGUGGAACUCCGAGUGUAGAGGUGAAAUUCGUAGAUAUUCGGAAGAACACCAGUGGCGAAGGCGGCUCACUGGCCCGGUACUGACGCUCAGGUGCGAAAGCGUGGGGAGCAAACAGG
rnacentral:rRNA from 1 species